rnacentral:rRNA from 1 species
UCCGUAGGUGGUCAACUAAGUCAGACGUGAAAUCCCUCAGCUUAACUGGGGAACUGCGUCUGAUACUGGUUGGCUUGAGUGCAGGAGAGGAACGCGGAAUUCCAGGUGUAGCGGUGAAGUGCGUAGAUAUCUGGAGGAACACCGGUGGCGAAGGCGGCGUUCUGGACUGCAACUGACACUGAUGAACGAAAGCCAGGGGAGCAAACGGGAUUAGAUACCCCGGUAGUCCUGGCCCUAAACGAUGAAUGCUUGGUGUGGCGGGUAUCGAUCCCUGCCGUGCCGUAGUUAACGCGUUAAGCAUUCCGCCUGGGGAGUACGGUCGCAAGGCUGAA